rnacentral:tRNA from 1 species
UGGGGCAUUAGCUCAGCUGGUAGAGCGACGGCUUUGCAAGCCGUAGGUCAGGGGUUCGAGUCCCCUAUGCUCCACCCA